CAUGAUUAUGGUGCCACUUUACAGAGAUACACAACAAAAUAUAAAGUUGCUUUCUUGACAUCAAAAAGCUUAAAAUCGUGGUGAGAAGAAAUGUUACCCAGCCUUCCUACACUAUGGAAGACCUCAGCCUAUCUAUGGUUUUAGAUAUACCGUCCUGCACUGGCAAGCUGAAUAUUAGGAAUUGUUUGCUGAAGGAUGGUAGAACCUGGAUCUCUGACUGCAAAGACUGAGUGCCACAACCAUCACCAUCUCCACUCCCCUGACCCUGUGUCCAAGAGUUUUAAGUAUUUGUCUAUACAGGGGAUACAAAAACUCAGAAAAAGUCAGAAAGAAGUCUACUUAUACCAAAUGCCGAAAGGCAUCAUCGAAAACUUUGCCAUCCAACUCUAUAACUAGCAUGGAGAAAAUGAGUUGACCUGGACAGAUCUUCUUUGUUCUAGAAGAAUCACAACUCUGGUUAUGUAUUUCUGAGACAAGAGACAUCCAAUCAUGAAGAAGGGUAGAGCUGUGUUUCCCAAGAUAUUUCCUAUGGUGUCAGAGAACACAGUAUUAUUAUUCAUGACCCUGAGUGUUU
rnacentral:lncRNA from 1 species